rnacentral:rRNA from 1 species
AUUGAACGCUGGCGGAAUGCUUUACACAUGCAAGUCGAACGGCAGCACGGACUUCGGUCUGGUGGCGAGUGGCGAACGGGUGAGUAACAUAUCGGAACGUAUCCAAUAAUGGGGGAUAACGAGUCGAAAGAUUCGCUAAUACCGCAUACGCCCUACGGGGGAAAGCUGGGGACCUUCGGGCCUGGCGUUAAUGGAGCGGCCGAUAUCUGAUUAGCUAGUUGGUGAGGUAAAGGCUCACCAAGGCGACGAUAAGUAGCUGGUCUGAGAGGACGACCAGCCACACUGGAACUGAGACACGGUCCAGACUCCUACGGGAUGCAGCAGUGGGGAAUUUUGGACAAUGGGCGCAAGCCUGAUCCAGCCAUUCCGCGUGAGUGAAGAAGGCCUUCGGGUUGUAAAGCUCUUUCGCAAGGGAAGAAAACUUAGCCACUAACAUUGGUUGAGGUUGACGGUACCUUGAUAAGAAGCACCGGCUAACUACGUGCCAGCCGCCGCCGUAA